rnacentral:rRNA from 1 species
UACGUAGGGUGCAAGCGUUGUCCGGAAUUAUUGGGCGUAAAGAGCUCGUAGGCGGUCUGUCACGUCGGCUGUGAAAUCCCGAGGCUCAACCUCGGGUCUGCAGUCGAUACGGGCAAACUAGAGUAUUGCAGGGGAGACUGGAAUUCCUGGUGUAGCGGUGAAAUGCGCAGAUAUCAGGAGGAACACCAGUGGCGAAGGCGGCUCUCUGGGCAGAUACUGACGCUGAGACGCGAAAGCAUGGGGAGCAAACAGG